GGGUCAAAGCCAUCAGAGACUCGCAUCUCCUCAAUAUUUGAUGCUGUCUGCCUCCAGCCUACCCCCGGAACGUUCUGGAAUCAAAAAGCCUGAAGGAGAUCCCCCUUUCCCCCGAACACUUGGAGGAUACCAUUUUCUUUCCAUUCUAAUCUCACAACAGGGAUACCAUUUUCCUCUCAUUCAUUCAUCACUUCUUGCCCUUUCCCCCUUUUCACUCUAAUCUAUUUGGCUCAAAAAUUCGUGGAUUGGGGGGAUAAAAUCUGUGUUUUUGAUUUGAUUUUGAUCCACCUGCUAUUGGAUCGAUAAACUCAUUUGUACUUUUGUGCAAAUUAUAAUUUCUGCACAAUGGACGGUGGCGCAGUGUCGUCGGAAAACCAGAUGAAUGGAGGAACAAGUUCAGAUUCGGCAGCGGCAGCAUCAUACACAUAUUGGGUUCGGGAAGUGAAGAAAGAGGAUGCAGCACCUCUCCCGGUUCCUCGUAAACUCACUCCCCAUGAUCUUUCUACCCAAUCCUCCUCUUCUCACCUAGGUUCUGCCUGGAAUCAGGUAAACCCAACAAUCAGUUUUGGAUGAUUAUUUAUUAUUAUGCCCAUUCUAUUGCAUUAUCUCAUAAAGUUUGUGACUUUAUUGUAUCCUUCUGGGUUUCUUGUUAUAAUUAUCUACCAAGGACAUGUUGUCUUCUAAUUAAAUCCUGUAAAAUGAUUUCUGAGUUUGUUUAAUUUUUAUUCUAAUUACAUCUUGUGAUUUCUGAGUUUGUUCAAUUUUUAUUUAUAAUGUCACGAGUUUGUUUAAUUUUAUUUGCAAUGUCAUGUUCUUGCUUCAAUUUCUUUUGUUGUAAAUUUUAUAACUUUUUGCCAACGUUGUUUCAUCUAAUGGAGCAGAAUAGUUAGUUUAUGUUGUUUAUGUUAGAAUUUGAGCCUAUUAAUGUGGGUGUUAUUAAUUAUUUUUAAUGAUUCCAUAUAUUAAUGUGUUCUACUCAUGAGUAGAUUAAAUUAAGUAUUUGGAAGCUCACAUCCAUGGAGUAAUACUUGGAAAUGAUAAAUGAUACUCCCUCCGUCCCAAAUUAUCUGUUGUCUUAGAGUUUCACACAGAUACCAAUAUGUGUGAUAAAAAUACUAAAAUACCCUUAUGUGCUGACUUUUUUGUUUUCCACAAAAAUCCCACGUACAUCAUCUUCCUAUGCAACUCUUCGUCUUCCUAAAUUUCUUUCCUCAAAAACUGUGAAAUACUCCAUACUCCUCAAGACAUCAUCGUUUCUUUUUCUCUUCAUCUUCCUAAAUUAUUUUUCGCCAACAGUCCAUGCCGGGAGAGAGAAGGCAGGGGUACUCCGUUGUGCUUGAUUCCGCCUCCGCAGGGGUACCGUGUUUCCGUCCAGUGGCCGGAGAGCUUGCACAAAUCAAGCCACACCAGAAAAGAAUGGGCCAUCAUUUAAUGAUGCUCCAGAAUUGGAUCUAAGAGGCAAUCUUUCAUAGGAUACACGGGUCACAUCCAAUGGCUCGGUAGACUGAUGGCCUGAUUUCUAGUGAAGUAGUUCCAUAAGCAACCUCUUUGAAGUAUCAUCACUGGUUCCAGCUGACAUCCAUAAACUUGGAUCUUCAGAAGUCCUUCUAACUUCAGAUUCCCUUUUCUGCCUCUCGUUAAUCUGCAAUUGCCUAAUCCGCGAUUCCAUCCAGUCAUUUGGUUGUUGACCAUUGCUCUCAGACCACUGUCCCUCAACUGCAUCCAAAUGAGAGGAGUGAAAUGGAUUUGCAACUGAAUGAUGGUGGGAAUGAUGAGAGUAGGCACCAGAGGAUAACCCACCCACUUGACCAGCAAGAUGCAUUCAAGCCACCCUAGUGAACAAAUCAAAAGCAGAGUAGAUAACAAAUCAAUUACAGAGAAAACAGAGUAGAUAACAAAUCAAUUACAGAGAAAGCAGAGUAGAUAACCCAAAAAGCAGAUACAAAGAAAUUCUAUUGAGAAGGCGUGAAUUUUUAUUGGUUGGAAUAUGAAAAGGAUGCUUAAAAAAGAGGGGAGACGUGAAUGAGAGUAAUGACUAUCAACAAUUAGGGUAAAGGGGCAAACUUGGAAAAUAAAGGAAAAAAUGCAUUGAAAUAUUGAAAAAGCAGAUAUUGUGAGACAAUUUUUUUUUUGCUAAAACAACAGAUAAUUCGGGACGGAGGGAGUAAUAAAUACAUGUGGGAAAAACCAAGUCCCACAUAGGUUAAGGAAUUAAACUUUUAAUGUGUUUAUAUACAAGGAAAUUGCUCUUGGGUUUGGGCUCCAAGGGGAACCCCACUUUUGUGGAAGGGAGAGGACCUAGCCAAGUCUUGGUUCGAACCCACACGCACGCCGCCGCCGGCCUGGCCUGACUCGGGGUCGUGGGUCCUUGUAUACAAUUUUUUAGAUAAAAUUUAUUUAAAAUUUAUUCAUUUAAUUAUAUUAUCAAAACUGUGUCGUUUUGAUAAACAGUAUUUAUUAUAUCAAAACUGUGUCGUUUUGAGAAACGGUAUCUGUUGAAAGGGUCAGUCUGAACGGACGGCCCAAAACUACGUCGUUUUGUCGCCCCCAAAAUUACGUCGUUUUGUUGCGUCUUUUCUACUAAGGCUAAAACUACGUAGUUUUGGUUUUGCUAAUGCUAAAACUACUUCGUUUUAUAGGUCCGAAUAGACGCGUCCAUUCUGUAAAUGAUCAAAACUAUGUCGUUUUGACCAAAGGAUAUCAUGUCACGUCUUUUCAGUAGCAUCCACCAACCCCUCCUAUAAAUAGAUAGGAGGGGGCAGCCUUCUUAUUCAUUCAUUUCUCAAGCAUUCAAGCAUAUUAGAGUUUUCAAGUCUUUAUUUUUUCAUCAGUUUCCUUAGUUCAUUUUGAGAGAGAAAGUCCGAGAAUUUCUUUGUCUCGUAGAGUAUACUUUUUGUAGUGCUGCUAAAGUAUACGUUAUCAUUAUAUUCUGGGAGACAAAUGCUAUCAACUUUGAGCACCAUACGGAGGACAUCAUUGUCUUAAGGACAUAGUACCAAGUACUAGCCUUGACAAAUCUUUUUCUACAAGACAAGUUAAUAUAUAUAUAGUUUCCUUUAAGAUACACAACAAUCUUAAGACAAUUAUUUUUCUUUAUCUAUAUAUAUAUUUGCAAGAAAUAUGGAUACCAAUUCUGCUAUUAUAAUUGGCUCUUCUUCUACACCUUCUAUACCUAAUGUUCCUGUGAGCCAUGGGGAAAAAUCAGAAAAGUUCAAUGGAACAGAGUUUAAAAUUGGCAACAAAAGAUGUUUUGUCUUACUACUUUGAACUUGGCGAGGCUUCUUCACGAAGAUCCCCCUGUGCUCAAAGAAGAUGAAACAGACAGGCAGGUUCUUGUCGCAAUAGAUGCAUUGAAACAUGCAUAUUUUUGUGCCGAAAUUAUAUCUUUAAUGGAUCGGACAACACAUUAUACAAUGUGUAUAGUUCUCUCAAAACAACAAGAGAAUUAUGGGAUUCAUUGGAUAAAAAUAUAAAACAGAAGAUGCUGGCACGAAAAAGUUCGUAGUUGGCAGGUUUUUGGACUACAAGAUGGUGGAUUCUAAGGUAGUCAUCAACCAAGUCCAAGAAUUUCAAGUAAUCCUACAUGAAAUACAUGCAGAAGGUAUGUCCUUAAGUGAAUCUUUCCAAGUUGCUGCCAUUAUUGAAAAACUAUCACCUAUGUGGAAAGAUUUUAAAAAUUAUCUCAAACAUAAACGCAAAGAGAUGAAACUUGAAGACUUAAUCGUAAGAUUAAAGAUAGAAGAGGACAACCGUGCUUCUGAGGAGAAAACGGGAAGGACCUUUAUAGAAUAUAAAGCCAACGUGGUAGAACAAGGUCUGAAGUCUAAAAAGAGAAAGUUCUCCGGUAAUGGGCCUCAACAGGGAACAAAUAAGAAGUUCCAAGGCAAAUACUACAUCUGUGACAAGCCCAGACAUGGGGCAAAGGAUUGUCGAAAACGCAAAGACCAGAACAAGAAGUCCGCACAAGCCAAUGUAACAGAAGUGGAUGGUCUUCUUAAAGAUAUUUCUGAAAUGAACCUUUCGGCGGUUGUUUCAGAAAUAAAUAUGGUUGAGAAUCCAAGUGAAUGGUGGGUAGAUACUGGAGCAAUCCGCCAUGUGUGUUCUAACAAGAAGAUGUUCUCCAUCAACAAUGUGCUCCAUGUGCCUGAUAUUAGGAAAAAUUUAGUGUCAGGAUCCGUUCUUAGUCAAAAGGGAUUUAAAUUAGUCUUUGUAUCGGACAAAUUUGUCCUAACUAAAAAUGGGAUGUAUGUGGGGAAAUGUUAUAUGAGCAAUGGACUUUUCAAAAUGAAUGUAUUGACUAUUGUACCUUCCAAUAUUAAUAAAAUUACAUCGUCUGCUUAUAUGAUCGAGUCAUCUAAUUUAUGGCAUGGUAGAUUAGGACAUUUUAAUUAUAAUACUAUACGUAGAUUAAUUAAUAUGGAAUGUUUGCUAAAAUGUGAGAUUAACUCUAAUCAUAAAUGUGAAAUUUGUGUUGAGGCAAAACUUCUGAAAUCUUCUUUUAAAUCAAUUGAAAGAAGUACAAAACUUCUUGAAUUAAUACAUACUGAUAUUUGUGAUUUAAAAUAUAUACAGACAAAAGGAGGUAAGAAACACUUUAUCACUUUUAUAGAUGAUUGUACAAGAUAUUGUUAUGUUUACUUAUUGAGAAGUAAAGAGUCUUUGGAAAUUUUUAUACAUUACAAAAAUGAGGUUGAGAACCAACUUGAUAAAAAGAUCAAGAUAGUUAGAAGUGAUAGAUGUGGGGAAUAUGAAUUCCCAUUUGUUGAAAUUUGUUCAUAACAUGGUAUAAUACACCAAGCAACUGCACCUUAUUCACCACAACAAAAUGGUGUUGCAGAAAGAAUGAAUAGAACUUUAAAAGAAAUGAUGAAUGCAUUAUUAUUAAGUUCUGGGCUACCUCAGAAUUUGUGGGGGGAAGCAAUUCUUUCAGCAAAUUAUAUUCUCAGCCGAAUACCUCAAAAGAAGUAAUAUUUCACCCUAUGAAUUAUGUAAAGGACGUAAGCCGUCUUAUAAACACUUAAAAGUGUAGGGGUGUUUAGCAAAAGUAAUGGUUCCUCCACCCAAAAAGGUGAAAAUAUGACCAAAAACAAUAGAUUGUAUAUUCAUUGGUUAUGCUAAUAAUAACAGUGCAUAUAGAUUUUUGAUUAAUAAAUCAAAAAUAGAGGAAAUACAUGAAAAUAUUAUUAUUUAGUCAAAAGAUGCUGAAUUCUUUGAAACAGUAUUUCCUAAUAAAAAUGAACAAGAGCCAAGUGUUAACAAACAAGAAACAAGUUCAAAUAAAAAAACUUAUGAUGCUGUUAAUGACAGUGAUCAUGGUUUAGAAGAUAUUGAUGUAAACGUGCUAGAACAUCAAAAUCUUAUGGUCCGGAUUUUCUAACUUGAGCCUCAAACCUAUAAAGAAGCAGUAUCGAGUCCUGAAGCUCCAUAUUGGAAAGUGGCUAUAAAUAGCGAAGUAGAAUUUAUUUUGCACAAUCAUACGUGAGAAUUAGUAGAUCUCCCACCAGGCUCUAAACCUCUUGGAUAUAAGUGGAUAUUCGAGAAGAAAAUGAAAGCAGAUGGAUCUAUAGACAAAUUUAAAGCAAUACUUGUAAUCAAAAGAUACAUGCAAAAGGAGGGUUUAGAUUAUAUUGAUACUUAUUCUCCGUGACAAGAAUAUCCUCAAUUAGGAUGUUAAUAGCCAUUGAAGCUAUAUAUAAUUUAGAAAUACAUCAAAUGGAUGUAAAAACAACUUUCUUGAAUGGAGAUUUAGAAGAAGAAAUCUACAUAGAACAACCAGAAGGAUUUAUUGUUCCAGGACAAGAAAAGAAAGUUUGUCGGAUUGUAAAGUCCCUUUAUGGAUUAAAACAAGCACCUAAACAAUGGCAUGAAAAAUUUGACAAUGCAAUGUUAUCAAAUGGUUUCAAAAUAAAUGUGUGACAAAUGUGUGUAUGUCAAAGACACUAAGAAUGGGUAUGUUAUUAUUUGUCUUUAUGUAGAUGAUAUGCUCAUUAUGGAUAGUAAUAAUGAAAUCAUUAAAACUACUAAAAGAAUGUUAAAUAAUAUGUUUGACAUGAAAGACAUGGGUGUUGCCGAUGUAAUAUUAGGAAUUAAAAUUUUUAAAACAUCGGAUGAGUUAGUGUUAUCACAAUCACACUAUAUUGAGAAAAUACUCGGGAAAUUCAAUCAAUAUGAUUGCAAUCCUGUGGGAACACCGGUAGAUAUAAAUCUACACUUGUCUAAAAAUAAAGGUGAGAGCAUAUCACAACCUGAGUAUUCACAAAUAAUUGGAAGACUUGUGUACUUAAUGAAUUGUACACGUCCUGACAUAGCACAAGCUGUCAAUAAAUUGAGUAGAUUUACAAAUAAUGCAGGACAAGAUCACUGGAGAGCGAUUAUAAGAGUUUUAAGGUAUUUAAAAUACACUCAAAAUUUUGGAUUGCACUACUCAAGAUAUCCAGUAGUAUUUGAAGGAUACUGUGUUGCGAAUUGGAUAUCGGAUACAAAAGACUCUAAAUCCACAAGUGGUUUUGUGUUUACACUAGGUGGAGGAGCAAUAUUAUGGAAAUCUUCUAAACAAACAUGCAUUGCUCGAUCAACGAUGGAAUCAGAGUUUAUUGCGUUGGAUAAGGCUGGAGAAGAAGCUGAAUGGCUUCGUGAUUUUUUAGAAGAUAUUCCUAUGUGGCCUAAACCUGUGUCGCCUAUUUGUAUCUAUUGUGAUAGUCAAUCAGCAAUUGGAAGGGCACAUAGUCACAUGUAUAAUGGCAAGUCUAGACAUAUUCGUCGUAGACACAAUACCAUAAAAUAAUUGCUCUCUAAUGGCAUUAUGUCUAUUGAGUACAUAAAGUCGAAAGAAAAUAUAGCGGAUCUGUUGACUAAGGGGCUGUUUGAUAAAAAACUGAAUGAAUCUGAAUCUGAAUGAAGUGAAUCUGAAUGAAAAAAGUUGUUUGAUAAUUGAUAUGUCUGAAAUAUCUGAAUAACAAUAUUUUACUAUUUUAACCCUCUAAACUAUGCUGAACAAGUAUAUAAUUUGUCUGAAUGUAUUUAAAAAAAUUAAAUGCAAUAUUCAUUGUACAACAAAUAAAAAUAGAUAAUUCAAACAAAUUAUCAAACAAAGUAUUGAAUAAUUCAAACAAUUUUAACCAAGUUUCAUAGAAAAUAAGAAAUGUAACGAGUUAAACAAACAUGUCAACAUAAUAAUAAAAUUACAUUAAUUUCAGUGAGUCACUUUAUAGUUCACGAGCAAUUUGGUCACGUAGAUUGUUCAUAUAUUGUACGCCUUGAGGGCCCCAUUGCACUGCAUCUUGCUCUCCUUCGUGAUUUUCUUCAUAUUGCUCAUCAUCUCCAUCAAUUGUGUUAGCUUGAUCAUACUGAGCAAAUAACUCAUCCUCAAUAUUCUCUUUCUUAUAAAAUUGUGAACAACAAAGCAAGCAAUAACUACAUCUCUUUGCAUUGAAAAAGGAUAAGGAGCCAUCUGCUUCAAUAUUGAGAAUCUUGCUUUUAAUACACUAUAGGCACGCUCAAUAUUUCUGAGUUGGGCAUGAGCAUGGUUAAACUUUUCUUUUCUAUUUAAGGCACGUCGACGUUGAAAAUCUGCUAGCCAGUACCUUGUGUUGCGAUAUGGAGAUAAAAAGCCUCGAGUGUUUGUAUAUGUAGCAUCACAAAGAUAAUAUUUAUCUACAAUUAUAAAAACAAAAUUUAAUCCAAGUUAUUAAAAUAAAUAAUCAAAUAUGAUAAUCAAAUAAAAAAUUGUAACACAUACUUUGAGGGGGAAAUGGAAAGCCGGAACUAGGAUCGAAGACAACUUCUGUUAAUACUCUUGAAUCAUAUACUAUUCCUUCCCAUCCAGCCCAAACACAAACAAAUGUGAAUAUCGUAUUGAAGUCACAAAUUCCUAAUACAUUUUGAUAGCAUUCACCCCUUCCUCGUCCUCUAUAGCGAGCUUGUUGAUUGACAGGAAUAACUGCAUGUACAAGUGUGCCAUCUAGUGCACCAACCGCUCCCUACAUUGAACGAUUAUAUUUAUGUUAUCCACAUAUUCGCAAAUAUAUAUUUGUGCCAAUUAUAUUUAUCAAAUUUAAAAUUACAUACCGAAUUUUUUUUUCGUAAGUCUUUAUGGUUCCCUGGAACAUUUGGAUUUGGAUCAAAAGAUGUGGGCACUAUGAUUUCCUUUGCAAAUUCUAUCAUUCCAUUCAGCACCUCGUGAAAAAAUUUAUGAACUGUUUGUGUAAAGUGUUGAAAUCUUCGUUUCACUACUCUAAAUCGUUCGUUAUGACCUAUUAUAGUUAAGAACAUAGCAAUCUUUUCCUCAAUAGUUACGUACUUACUAUCUUGUACCCAUUGUUUUUGCCUAAAAUGAUUGCAUAAAUGAACAUAUGCAACACGUGAAAGUCGCAUCAAUUCUUGACAUUGUGUACUUGAUCCAUGUAAUAACUCCAAUGUAUAAGCAUGUCCACUCAAGAUUGAAGUGUUAUCUCUAAUUCUUGGUAUGUUUGUUGAACGAAUUCGUUUCAAGUAACAACACAUAAUGAUUAAGCAUAAAAGUUGAUCUUCAAUAGUCAUGCUUGACCUAUUUCCAAAAACAGUGAUAGCAAAAAUAUUAAGAAAAAUAUGUUUGUGAUAUAAUGAAACUCACAUAAUGACCAUAUGUCAAGUUCAACAAAUCAUGAACCAUCAAAACAAUAAGCACAUAUUAUAAGUUACUAAAUAAAUAUAUACCAAAAGUAACAAGUUCAUACAAAAGUUAUGGCCAAAAAUAAAAAAUUUAACCCUUUGCACCCAAAAUAAUAAGUUUUGGCCAUCGAUCCAUACAACAUAUUAAAGUUUUAACUAAAAUCAUCCAAUAGUAAAUAUUUAACUAGACUAGAAAUCCUAACUUGCGUGAAACCAUUUCAACCCAAGCUUCAUUCUCAUCGUCUUCUAGUAGCAUCCAUUGUUCCCUAUAACUUGCACUCUCACAAAAUAUCCCAAGUGCCAUUUUGUGCAAUGGAUUUUGUGAACCCCACCCAAGACGAUUUAAUUUAUCUUUGCACUCCUUCAAGGAAGGUCCACUAUUGUUAUUCACAAUGAGCUUUAAGGCUUUGCACAUCUCUUCCUCUAUUUCGGAGUUAUUAGAUUUUUUUGUUGAUUUCUUCGCUUUUUUCGUUGGCCUUUGUUCUUCAAAGGUGGGAGUGGAAGCAUUUGAUUGGGUACCCGGAGUUGAUGAAUUUAGAGGUGGGUUUGGGGACUCGAGCUAGAGUACUAAAAGGGAUAUCCUCGAUACUAAGAUUUUUCAAAUCCUUAUUUGGUUCAACGGUCCUAUCCCUUUUAGAGUUAGGUCCCCAACCAUCAAUCCCCGUAGCAGCAACUCCAUCAUAGAGUUUAGUGCAAAGCUCAGGAAAACUUGAAGGUGAAGUCCUCAAGGAGUCAACAUGCUUAUUUGCCUGUAUCCAAAAAUCAUACAUAACAUGUUAUUCACAUGUUUAAUAAUUUAACAAGCUUUUAUGGUUAACUUAAAAAAGUAGUUACUAACCUUUGACUCUAGCUCCCAUUCCUCAUCCGUGAAGUUGAACGUGUUAGUUGUGGGAUCAUAAUGAUUUCCGGUCUUUCUUUUUAGUUGACACCAUGCAGUAUAUUUUCCCUUUAUAUAAUCAUAACGAUUUUUUAUUUGCUUAUGAUCUACAAUAAAGUUGUGGGUGUUCUUCAGUAUUUCUCCCACUUUUGACCAUGAAUAUGGCUUAAGACUACUGCCUAGCCUACCAUUUUCUGUAACCUCGCCAAUACAUGCUUCAAGAAAAGUUUUCAUUACAUUUUCAUUUCUCCAACUAACUCUUGAUUUUCUUUGAUUUUGAGUUUCACCCGAUUGUUCCAUGCCUAACACAAAUAAAAUGAUGAAUUUAGAGAUUCUAAUCCUAACAAUAAACAAAUAUACUUUUUAGAUCAAUUGUCUCAAUUCUAUCAUCAAAGAUUACAGGAAGACUCCAACAGAAAGAAAUAAUGUACUCCAGUAGAUUAUGUACUACCGAAAUUAUAAAGAGCCCACAUGGCCACAUACUAGUUAAUGAAAAGUAACAAUGUUCAUUAUAACAGAGCUGAUCUAGCUACCAGAAACAAUAUUAAUGAGAAACAUGAAACUAGAUGGUUAAAUAUAUACACAUUACACACCCUAUAAGCAGUCAGAUGAUUAAAAAAACAAGCUUUUUACAAUUAUCCUAAAUCUUUAAUAGAAUAAAUAUGCCAACAUAGCACUAAGAUAUUAAAACAACCUUAUUACCACUUCAAAGGCAAAAAACUUAAUUUCACUGCAUAAAUAUAAAUUUUUAUAGGUACAAACAAUCCUCUAGAUUUUAUGAACCUUUAUCAUAGUUGUAUUAAAAACAAUAACAAUAAAGGUUUUUAUCAUAUCUCAUUGCAGCAGAACCUUGAUUUAGUUCAGUGAUCUUUCAAUAUAAUACAAAAUACAAAAUUAGCAUAACAACCCAACAUAAUUACAAUGAGACAGUGACUUGUGAGGUUCCCUUUUCUUUUUGUUAUUUCCUUGUGAUAAGGUGAUUGUUUUUAGUUCCCAACAUAAUUUAGUUCAGUGAUUGUUUUUGUUAAUUUCCAACGAAAAUUACAUCAAAAGAGACUUCCAAGCCUUGUUCUGCCAUUUAUAUAUUGCCAUUUAUAUAUUAUAAACCUACUCUUCUCUUUCAAUACAAUCAAUCCCCCAAACAGAUACCAAGCAAACAAACAAACAAACCCACAAAAUUCUAGCUUUCCCCCUUUCAUAGAGCAUCGUAAUGGUUGCAGAAUGUAGCACAUGUUCAUUGAAAUUUUUACAUAUUCUACUGCAAGUAAUUGUUGCCUAAAAACUGCAUUUAUGUGUGAUUGCCCAAUACAUAACCCAUAUUCACCAUUUCAUACUAUUCACUUUCAGUUUAGCCCUAACUAUUAAUCUGAAUCACAUACCCACCACCAUAUACAGGAAGAAACAGAGAUCAAAUUAGGGAGAUGGAGUAGCGACGCAGAG
rnacentral:lncRNA from 1 species